AUGCCACAAAAAGAACAACGUUCUACUUUAUGGCAGACGUCCGAAGCUGUUACAGUUGGACUCAAAUGAUCCGGCGAGUGGGUUGGACAACAUCAUCAUCAUCAUCAUCAUUGUUCCCUCUACAGACAGAGCUCCUCUCAAACAUCGUCAUCAGUGUGAACAAAAACACACACGCGACUGAACGCAAGAGACGGGACGAGGCGAGUGGUGCAGACAUGUCAGGAUGAGGAGAAUGGCAGCAUCUACACCGCUUUAAUUUCCUACAACAAUCAAACACACAGAGAGAGUCCUUGAUGCAAAAUAAGCGCAACAAAUGCGCCGUUUGUGCAGCUGCAGCGUGUGA